rnacentral:rRNA from 1 species
UCCUGGCUCAGGAUGAACGUCUAGCUACAGGCUUAACACAUGCAAGUCGAGGGGAAACGACAUCGAAAGCUUGCUUUUGAUGGGCGUCGACCGGCGCACGGGUGAGUAACGCGUAUCCAACCUGCCCACCACUUGGGGAUAACCUUGCGAAAGUAAGACUAAUACCCAAUGAUAUCUCUAGAAGACAUCUGAAAGAGAUUAAAGAUUUAUCGGUGAUGGAUGGGGCUGCGUCUGAUUAGCUUGUUGGCGGGGUAACGGCCCACCAAGGCAACGAUCAGUAGGGGUUCUGAGAGGAAGGUCCCCCACAUUGGAACUGAGACACGGUCCAAACUCCUACGGGAGGCAGCAGUGAGGAAUAUUGGUCAAUGGACGAGAGUCUGAACCAGCCAAGUAGCGUGCAGGAUGACGGCCCUAUGGGUUGUAAACUGCUUUUAUAAGGGAAUAAAGUGAGUCUCGUGAGACUUUUUGCAUGUACCUUAUGAAUAAGGACCGGCUAAUUCCGUGCCAGCAGCCGCGGUAAUACGGAAGGUCCGGGCGUUAUCCGGAUUUAUUGGGUUUAAAGGGAGCGUAGGCCGGAGAUUAAGCGUGUUGUGAAAUGUAGACGCUCAACGUCUGCACUGCAGCGCGAACUGGUUUCCUUGAGUACGCACAAAGUGGGCGGAAUUCGUGGUGUAGCGGUGAAAUGCUUAGAUAUCACGAAGAACUCCGAUUGCGAAGGCAGCUCACUGGAGCGCAACUGACGCUGAAGCUCGAAAGUGCGGGUAUCGAACAGGAUUAGAUACCCUGGUAGUCCGCACGGUAAACGAUGGAUGCCCGCUGUUGGUCUGAAUAGGUCAGCGGCCAAGCGAAAGCAUUAAGCAUCCCACCUGGGGAGUACGCCGGCAA